rnacentral:rRNA from 1 species
CAAGUCGAGCGCCCCCUCGGGGGAGCGGCAGACGGGUGAGUAAUGCAUGGGAAUCUACCUAGCUCUACGGAAUAACUCAGGGAAACUUGAACUAAUACCGUAUACGUCCUUCGGGAGAAAGAUUUAUCGGAGUUAGAUGAGCCCAUGUCUGAUUAGCUAGUUGGUGAGGUAAAGGCUCACCAAGGCGACGAUCAGUAGCUGGUCUGAGAGGAUGAUCAGCCACACUGGGACUGAGACACGGCCCAGACUCCUACGGGAGGCAGCAGUGGGGAAUAUUGGACAAUGGGCGCAAGCCUGAUCCAGCCAUGCCGCGUGAGUGAUGAAGGCCCUAGGGUUGUAAAGCUCUUUCACCGGUGAAGAUAAUGACGGUAACCGGAGAAGAAGCCCCGGCUAACUUCGUGCCAGCCGC